CUCAUGUAAAGGUACAAGAUCCCAAUGAUGAAUGUGACUGUAUUUUAUACCUAAAAUGUACCAAUAAACUUAAUGGGGGGGGCCCUGGGGUGGAGAUUUGCAAGGAUCGAGACCUGGGGUUAUGGCAAUGACCUAAAUCAAAUGUAAUAAGGAUCAAAGCCAAGGUCAUCGCCACCAAAACAGCAAGGAGACCAUGAAAGUGGGAGGGGUUAAGGAUAUAAAAGUUUGGGGACGUGAUAAGCAGUGGGUGUUGGGGCGAGAAGCAGUGCUGAGUUCAGCACCUCUGUGAGGUGAGGGCACAGGGGACAGGAGGACAUGUGCUGGUGAAAGGCUGUCCUUCCUGGGUGCCUCCUCCGACAGGCUGAGCUUCCUAACCAGAGCACACGCUCAGCACCAAGCUCUGUGAGUCCUUACACCUCUCCCCACCGAAUGCUUUCCAGAGCUGGUUUCCUUUUGUUUUUGCUCAUGUUCUCCAUUCUUGCUUCUCGGUGCAGGGCUUAAUGAUUAUAUCUGAACGCUGCAGGGACAAUGUAACAUUUACACAGUGUUUCUUCAUUUGAUUCCUCUAACAGUCUUACUGGGUGGAUGUGACUGUCUGAGGAGACAGAAGCUCAGGGAAGCAGUGUCUUGUGCAAGCAUGGACAGGUGAGAAACAGCAGAGCAAUUCCCAGGUCUGUGGAGGUCCUUUGAGAAGGGGCUAUGCUAUCCAGAUACACUGUCUGACUCUUGGAUCUUGAGGUUCCAAGAGCCCAGAUGCUGAGUUGGAGGCCUGAACCAGGUAUCCACUGCCACUGUAAGGCCUUGUGAUAACCAGUCACAAACCCUCCAUGCCACACUGAGGAAGCCACUCAGUCAGCCCCCUAUCUGCAAGUCCAGAUGCUCUGGGCCCUGCUGAGCUUGCUCCUGGGCCAUGGCCAGCUGCCUCCUCUCCUCGGCUCUGCUGACCUGGCCAGGGCACAGGUGCCCGGGCAGGAUGGCUUCCAGCUGGGCCCUGUCUUCCUUCUCACGGGGCAGCUGUGCUUCAGGGCGACGGCACAACAAGCAGGAACAUGCCAGUGCUUUUUCAGGUCUCUGCUUGCAUCUGUCUUUGCCAACAGUGCUUUGGCCAGGUUCCUGGCGAACCUUGAUCUUUAGAGAAAUUGGAAAGUCACAUGGCAAAGGGCAGGGAAGGAGAGGGGAUCGCCCUGCCUCCAAGUGGAGCUUUCACCCCCGUGGAAACUGUCGUGUUUCUCCCGAUUCCCCACUGCAUUGAAACAGUUAGAAAGAAUGCUGUUCUGCUUCGGUGGAUCCCUGUGCAUGGCUUCUCCCCGUCAGUCACAGCGAUGCCGCCCGAGCCGCUCCCUGGCAAGCUGUCCACCCUCCCUGUGCCCUGGCCACACUGGCGUGGCCUUCUGUGUCCAGGGGAUUGAACUUGGGUCCAUGCACUUGUAAGGCAGGCGCCAGAACCACUGAGCUAAAUUCCCGGCCCCAGAGCACUCUUCUUGUUUGAUAGUGGGGAUCUGUUUCCCCCACUGACAAGUCUAAGACAAGGACCUCAUCUGCUCCCACCGUGUCCCUGUGCCCAGCACAGCACAGAAUUGAAGGUCCUGCAUCCUCAGAGACGCCCCACAUCCGUGGAACGUCCAGGUGCUUGGCUUGUCAGAGAGAGCACUUUGACGGGAAUAAGACUACAGGUGUCUUCCCUCUUGCAUGGUGAGGGGCUGAGGAGCAGGACCAGGAGCCAUCCCAAGCUGUCACAUGCCACCGGACAUAAGGAAAGUAGGAGGAAGAGAAAGCAUUAUGAUAUCUUCCAAUUCCUUAUUUAAAAUAGAAGAUACAUAUUAGUCUGCAGCCCAGAGCUGAGGGUGCACCUGAGCCUAGAAGGAGCCUGCCCAGGUGAGCUGAUGCAGCUGUUGACCGGCCUCUGGGGUCUCACCCACCCUGGGGUCUGGGGACUGUCUCACUCCAGAACAGGCACGAGGGCGGCAGGGGUGACUGACCCAGUGGGGUGCUAGUAAGAGAAGUGAGUGAUGACGUAUUGCAGGGAUCAGCAAGCAAUGAGCACAGGCCAGCUCAGCCCCAUCCCGUUUUUGUAAAUAAAGUUUUAUUGGAACAC
ensembl:lncRNA